CUCUCUCUUCAAGCCAGAUACCGGGGGUUCACGGGCCACCGGUCAGCGCCAAGAGAAAAAGGAGCUAUAGCCCUUCUCUUUGGAGAAAAUAUUUAUAGGUAUGGGCGGCCAGUAGGUGAUGAUUCGCCAACCGCCGCCCAUGCCG
rnacentral:ncRNA from 1 species